UACGAAGGGGGCUAGCGUUACUCGGAUUGACUGGGCGUAAAGGGCGCGUAGGCGGCUUUUUAAGUUUGGUGUGAAAUCUCCCGGCUCAACUGGGAGGGUGCGCCGAAUACUGAGAGGCUAGAGUGUGGGAGAGGAAAGUGGAAUUCCUGGUGUAGCGGUGAAAUGCGUAGAUAUCAGGAGGAACACCGGUGGUGUAAACGGCUUUCUGGACCAUAACUGACGCUGAUGCACGAAAGCGUGGGUAGCAAACAGG
rnacentral:rRNA from 1 species